rnacentral:rRNA from 1 species
UACGUAGGGUGCAAGCGUUGUCCGGAAUUAUUGGGCGUAAAGAGCUCGUAGGCGGUCUGUUGCGUCGGCUGUGAAAACCCGGGGCUCAACUCCGGGCCUGCAGCCGAUACGGGCAGACUAGAGUUCGGCAGGGGAGACUGGAAUUCCUGGUGUAGCGGUGAAAUGCGCAGAUAUCAGGAGGAACACCGGUGGCGAAGGCGGGUCUCUGGGCAUUUCCUGACGCUGAGGCGCGAAAGCGUGGGGAGCAAACGGG